GACGAACGCUGGCGGCGUGCCUAAUACAUGCAAGUAGAACGCUGAAGGAGGAGCUUGCUUCUCUGGAUGAGUUGCGAACGGGUGAGUAACGCGUAGGUAACCUGCCUGGUAGAGGGGGAUAACUAUUGGAAACGAUAGCUAAUACCGCAUAACAGUAGAUAUCGCAUGAUAUCUACUUGAAAGGUGCAAUUGCAUCACUACCAGUUGGUCCUGCGUUGUAUUAGCUAGUUGGUGAGGUAACGGCUCACCAAGGCGACGAUACAUAGCCGAACGGGGAGGGGGGUCGGCCACACUGGGACUGAGACAAGGCCCAGACUCCUACGGGAGGCAGCAGGAGGGAAUCUUCGGCAAUGGACGGAAGGCUGACCGAGCAACGCCGCGGGAGUGAAGAAGGGUUUCGGGUCGUAAAGCUCUGUUUUAAGGGAAGAACGAGUGUGAGAGUGGAAAGUUCACACUGUGACGGUAUCUUACCAGAAAGGGACGGCUAACUACGUG
rnacentral:rRNA from 1 species